rnacentral:tRNA from 1 species
UGGCUCAGCGGCUAGAGCACUUGCUUCACACGCAAGGGGUCACAGGAUUCGAACCUGUG